CUUGACUUUAAAUAGCACCCAUUGCCGGCCGCUUUGCGGCCUGACUUCUUGGAGUGUACCUCCCUAUAGAUCACUGGUGGUUGACAGGUUCCUAUUGUCGGCGCUGAACCCCAGGCAAACAUUCCGCCACUUCCCCGUUUAAGCCUUGGUUGUCCUGAUCAGGAAGGCUUGGUGCGACGAUGACUGGGUGAAAGCCAAGCUUUCUUAGAGUUGGUAGCCUACAAGGUAAUAUUCACCCAUUGUUAUGAAACGCACUGAAUGCCUGUUCUAUGUAUUUACUGCAUGUGAUGUUAAUAUAGGCUCCGUUUGCUUUUAGGAAGAACUUAUGUUAAUGCCACUGCUGUUUUGCCAUAUGUAUGGUUUUCUGUGAUUGGUGUAACUUGUUUGUGUUGUCUGCUAUAGACUGGCUGCCUGGUUAACGCUGUCGCUAGUUAGGCUACACGGCUGGUGUAGGCUACGCUUGGCUUGUCCUGUCGCCUAUGAAUGUUUGUCCGUGUCCUUGGUCUUUUUUUUGAUACGUGUGCUGUUUCUUUUGUUUUGUUUGCCAAACCAACUGUGUUCGUUCAAUCCCCCCUAAAAAUUGUAUUUAACAACAGUCUCUUUCCCUCGUAGCUUAUUAGUCCUGUUGCUGGAGAGUUUAUACGCAUCAGGCCCACGGAUGGUGCAAGCCCUUUUUCUUCCUCCCCUAUGUUCACUGCAUGCUUAGCGAGGCUUUCUGGUGUUCACCCAUAAAUGUGUGCCUGCACUAUUUGCUGGCUGUGAGUGUGGAUAACCGUGUGUUUGGUUUGUGUUAAUAUUUUCUCUUGCACAGGUGAGGGGUGUCUUGGGGUCCUCCUUCGCCCUCCAGUGGCGCACCUGAUGCUCUCUCUCUCCACAGCGGUAUUGACUAGAACAUACAUAUCGAUAACUAAGCUA